rnacentral:rRNA from 1 species
GACGAACGCUGGCGGCGUGCUUAACACAUGCAAGUCGAACGGUGAAAGCGGAGCUUGCUCCGCUGGAUCAGUGGCGAACGGGUGAGUAACACGUGGGCAACCUGCCCCUCACUUCGGGAUAACUCCGGGAAACCGGGGCUAAUACCGGAUAUGACCUCCUUGGGCAUCCUUGGAGGUGGAAAGUUCUUCGGUGAGGGAUGGGCCCGCGGCCUAUCAGCUUGUUGGUGAGGUAGUGGCUCACCAAGGCGACGACGGGUAGCCGGCCUGAGAGGGCGACCGGUCACACUGGGACUGAGACACGGCCCAGACUCCUACGGGAGGCAGCAGUGGGGAAUAUUGCGCAAUGGGCGAAAGACUGACGCAGCAACGCCGCGUGCGGGAUGACGGCCUUCGGGUUGUAAACCGCUUUCAGCAGGGAAGAAGCCGCAAGGUGACGGUACCUGCAGAAGAAGCACCGGCUAACUACGUGCCAGCAGCCGCCGUAA